rnacentral:rRNA from 1 species
CACGUAGUUAGCCGGGGCUUCUUAGUCAGGUACCGUCAUUUUCUUUCCUGCUGAUAGAGCUUUACAUACCGAAAUACUUCUUCACUCACGCGGCGUCGCUGCAUCAGGGUUUCCCCCAUUGUGCAAUAUUCCCCACUGCUGCCUCCCGUAGGAGUUUGGGCCGUGUCUCAGCCCCAAUGUGGCCGUUCACCCUCUCAGGCCGGCUACUGAUCGUCGCCUUGGUGGGCCUCUACCCCACAACAAGCUAAUCAGACGCGGGUCCAUCGUAUACCACCGGAGUUUUCACACCAGACCAUGCGAUCCUGUGCGCUUAUGCGGUUUUAGCACCUAUUUCUAAGUGUUAUCCCCCUGUAUACGGCAGGUUACCCACGCGUUACUCACCCGUCCGCCACUAACAGAUAAAUCAUUAGGUUUCAUUACCUGUCCGUUCGACUUGCAUGUGUUAAGCACGCCGCCAGCGUUCAUCCUGAGCCAGGAUCAAACUCU